rnacentral:lncRNA from 1 species
AUGCCUAUACUGAGAUAUGGAUCCUCCACAAUGUCUUGAUGGGCCAGCGCCUUGCCCACCUGUUUCACUCUUUCUGUUAUUUGAGAAUUUUUUGCAUUUCUCUUUAUACUCAGUUGCUCCCCAAGCGGAUUGCCAUGCAUCCAUUACUCCUUCUGUCAGUGAUAGUCUCUUCUCCUUCCCAUUCCUUACGCUACACAUAAGGCUACGAU